UGGUGGGUAGUUUGACUGGGGCGGUCUCCUCCUAAAGAGUAACGGAGGAGCACGAAGGUUGGCUAAUCCUGGUCGGACAUCAGGAGGUUAGUGCAAUGGCAUAAGCCAGCUUGACUGCGAGCGUGACGGCGCGAGCAGGUGCGAAAGCAGGUCAUAGUGAUCCGGUGGUUCUGAAUGGAAGGGCCAUCGCUCAACGGAUAAAAGGUACUCCGGGGAUAACAGGCUGAUACCGCCCAAGAGUUCAUAUCGACGGCGGUGUUUGGCACCUCGAUGUCGGCUCAUCACAUCCUGGGGCUGAAGUAGGUCCCAAGGGUAUGGCUGUUCGCCAUUUAAAGUGGUACGCGAGCUGGGUUUAGAACGUCGUGAGACAGUUCGGUCCCUAUCUGCCGUGGGCGCUGGAGAACUGAGGGGGGCUGCUCCUAGUACGAGAGGACCGGAGUGGACGCAUCACUGGUGUUCGGGUUGUCAUGCCAAUGGCACUGCCCGGUAGCUAAAUGCGGAAGAGAUAAGUGCUGAAAGCAUCUAAGCACGAAACUUGCCCCGAGAUGAGUUCUCCCUGAGACUUUAGGUCUCCUGA
rnacentral:rRNA from 3 species